rnacentral:tmRNA from 1 species
GGGGGCGACGUAGGCUUCGACGGGGGUUACAAAACCUGAAGUGCAUGUCGAGGGGCAGAGUACCUCGUAAAACCAACUGCAACCUUAUAGUUGCCAACGACGACAACUACGCACUCGCUGCUUAAUACCCAGUAGGGUGCCGUCUGACUGGAGCCGUGCCUAUGCGUCCAGCUUUUCAGGCGUCAUAUCUCAUUAGGAUCGCGUUGAAGCUCGUCCGGGGCAGAAACGUUAAAACCUAACCGGAAUCGCUUGUUGCGCGCCCUGUCCGUCGGGUGGCAGCCGGCAAGAUAUAAUAGACAGGACUAAGCAUGUAGAACUUUUGGCAGAGGACUCGCGGACGGCGGUUCGAAUCCGCCCGCCUCCACCA